CCGGGGUGUUUGUAGGUUGGAUUGUUUGGUUACAAACCGGCUGUGAUGAGGCGCGGGUCCCGGCCCCCAGAUUGUGAUGUCUCAGGGGGCGGUGGGCCGGGUGACGCAACUGGGGGUGGGCCCGUGGGUCCCAGUACCUGGUCCAGGAGGCAGCGUCUCCCUCCCGUCCGGGAUAAGACACCCCCUCCGCGGGUCCCCUGUCCACUCUGGAGAGGCAGCCCCCACUUGGAGGGACCAGGACCCGAGCCCUGCCCAUCCCCGAAUCCUGGGAGCCCUGCGUGGGGAGUGUCGAGGGCCUGGGUCGGGGGGCAAACUAGUGUGGAGGUAAAGUUGUGGGAGUCUCCAAAGUGCGGGGGGGCUGUGAAAGAAGGGCCUUCUUCGUUGGUUUAGAUACUAGGAGCCUUUUCCGGUCCAGUAAUGUGACUCCAGCUUCUAGGAAGGAACAAGAAGCAGGCCAACUCCUAGGAGCUGGGGUACGCUGUGGGGUCUCUGGCCACUGAGUCUCCAAGUGACCCUCUGUGGGGUCACUGGAAAUUAGUGAAAAUGCCAGGACAGAACUUCCUGUGGAGACUACUGAAAAUGCCAGGACAGGCCUUCCGGUCCCCUCCCUCCCCACCUCCACUGUUGAACUCUAGAGAAUUCCAGGAUCUUAUCCUGUUUGGUGCCCACCAUGUGGUUUACACUCCUUAAAAGUGAGACCCUACAGUUACCGAAUUUGCCCAAGGUUGAGGAAUGACUUAGGAGCAGGAAGUCCCAGCCCCCUGCUCCCAGCUCAGUGCUUGGGCCCUUUCUGUGACAACUAAGGCCACAAAGAAAAUGGCUUUAAAUAUUCAGUGUUCCAAGAGGGGGAAAAAAAUGGACAGGGCUCACUGGGCAUUUAAACACAUGGGCCUGUGUGCAUCGCUGCUCUGUUCACAGCAAUGAAUCCCGGAAACCCGGCUGCUCACUAAUUACCCAGUAACUAUGGAGGUCCCCCGAAGGACAGACCUGUGCCCUUGAGGCAGGGCCCUGAAGGAGGGUGAGUCUACCCUCCAGUCAUCCAUUGGGGCAGGGGCUAUCGUGUGGCCCUUAAACAAGGAAAGGAGAUUUCUAAAGUGGACUCCAGAAAGGAGAAAGUCAAUUUGGGUUAAGGAACUGUGAAUGCGGGUGGAGGGCAGCAGAGGUCUCUAAAGACUGACCUUGGAGCUGAGCCCAGAAGGAGGAGAGGAACCCCCACAGGGACAGCAGUUUGGGCGGGGAAAGGUGGGAUCAGUGGAGACAGAAGUGGAGGCCCCAUUAGGGGCUCCUUGGUGCUUGGGCUUGAGGCAGGAGCUUCCUUGCUGCUGCCUUGAUUCUUAAUCUUGUGGUCAUUUCACACUCCAAGGAGCAGGAUCUCUUUCUGCGUCCUGUGGAGCCAGGGUGGUAGUAGCAGCCAGGCUAAUUUUGCCCCAUCUGCUAGCCAUCUCCCUGUUCUUACACUUCAAUUUAUUUUCCAUAAUUGCUGUGGGGUGAAGUUGUGCUGAAAACCAUUUUCUUUACAAAGCAGAGAGCUAAGAGAAUCAGCCUUCUUCUCCAUCAUGAGAGAGGUUGCAGGGAAUCUGUCUUUAAGCAAUGUGCCCUGUGGAUGUUAGCUACAGGGUUGGGCCAUUUUUCAUGAUGCAAAGAUGUCUGAUCCUGGGAAUGGACAGCCACAUCAUUUGGGGAACACUACCCAGUCAGCAACAGCUCCCUGGCAGGGAGGGACUAUGAUCACCAUCGAUUGAGCACCAACUGUAUACCAGUUGUUGGACGACUCUCAGCCUAAAGAACUUCUUUGCUUUUCAGUAAGGUGGAAAGAAUUUUAGGUGUUUUUCAAAAAGGAAUAGAAGCCAGUAUUGAGCAUGAGGCUGGCCUCUAAAAGGUACUUGAAUAUUCAUUGAACUCAUGUGUCAAUAUCACCCCUGUUUCCUAGAGUGUCUCUGGGCUCCUCUGUGGGGCACACUAAGUCAUCUGUGAUUGAUCUGUGCCCCUCAAUCCUGGCUCUACACUUUUUGACCCAGCAGUGCUGAGCUGCCUCAGGUCCUGGCCACAUCCAGUCACUUCCAGACCUUUGCUCAUUUGUCCCCUUUGAAACGCCCUUCCCCUGCUCCCUGCACUUCACCUUUACCUAGCUUACUCCUGCUUAAUCAUGUGCACCUCAGAGACUUCUCCAACACCACUAGGCUCAGCUGGGUGCCUGUCUUGUACAAUUCCCGUAAUAUUAAGUACAAUCACAUAAUAUUCCAUGAACUCUGCAAUUCUGUUUCCUGAUUGCAUCGUACUACAAUUAUGUUUACUUGACAGUUUUCCCCAAUAAAUUGUGAAGUACGUGAAAACAAGGGCUGCUCUGUGUCUGGCACAGGGAGAGGUGUCGAAAUUAAAUGGAUGGAUGAAUGAAUGACUCUCACUAUAGGCCUGAACCCAGAAACCAGGGGACCAAAGUGAAAAAAACAGUUGACCUUCAUGUCCAAGGCCCCAGUACGCUCCUGGAAAGCCAACUUUAAUGGAGGACCUAGCAAGUGCCAGGCAGCAUUCUGAGCCCUGGAAUCCGGUGAUGAACAUGACAGACAAGAUUCCUGCCCCCAAGGAGCUGCACCUUAAUAAGUCCCGCAAUGAAGGAGACAGAACAUAAACAGAGGAAAAUACACAAGAUGCCAGCUUGUGAGAAGUGCUAGCAAAAAAAGACACAAGUAUGUCCAGAGAGUCUGAGGUGUAUACAGCUCAUUUCACCAAUGAAAAGGCACUGGCAACAUCUCCUAUGCAGAUUAGCCGCAGCCUCCGGUGCCGAUUUAGCAAAGCCAUGAUUGACCAGAUCCGAGGCUCGCUGCCCUGUGGAGCUGCUUCCUAAUUAUGUUACUUCAAGCACCCAUCCCCAGGGUGCAGGUUAAAGUUAACCAGCACACUAAUGUACAUCAAGCAGUGUAGGCGGAGGCGCAGUUCUGAAGACAGUCACCAAUACGCGGCAAAUACCUAUUGUGAGAUCCAUCACCUGCUGGAUGGGCCUGCUCCCUCUACCACUCCCCUCCCACCUGCGCCUGGGUUGGGGAACUGGCCCCUUGCUAACUAGUCUAAUCCCCUUCAGUUGGUCACAAGCCCUGUGGAGGUGGGAAGGAGACAGGACUGGGAAGGCAGUGAGGGAGGGCACGAUGUGACUUCAGGGACAGCAGGAGCCUGAGUCUGGAGUUUGGGCUGCCCUAAUUUGCUGUGUGACCUUGAAAGCCCCUUCCCCUUUUAAGAAUGGGCUCAUCUCUUUUCUAAAGAAGACAUUCCAUGGGAGAGGUGGUGCCAUGGGAGUGUCACCUGGGAGGCUGCAGGCCUGCCCUAGGGCCCAGUCAUUCUGGAGGAAGCCCUUGUGGGCUAGGAGACGGCAGGCUCCGCCUCUGACCUAUUGGUUUCCCUCUGUCUGCCACUGUCCAGAGAUCAGAAUCCUGGGUCCUCUGGCACGGGCAUCCACUCUCACCAAGACAGACAGGAUGGAGCCUCUUCCUUAGGGCCUUGAGGCUUCACCACAGUCGUUGCAGUCUGGGGACUAUUGAACCAGACUGACUCUGGUCCUGGAGGGUGACCGUGGACAUCGACCCUCCCUGAACCUGAGUUCUCAUCAAUGGGAUGGAAAGAUCAAUAUGCCUGUCCUAGAUUUCUCAAAGGGCCGGUGUGGUGCUCAGUUGAGAGGUGCAUGUGCAGGACAGCGUGGGCAGCAAUAGGUGGGGGUGUGGGGAGCUGCCUGAGCCGGGCAGAUGCUCAGGAG
rnacentral:lncRNA from 1 species